AUCACUUGCCCCGAACAGAGCACAGGAUCUCGUGCUGUGGAUUUGUGCAUGUGGUUUGCAGACCAGCUGCAGAAGCCAGAGACCUCUUAGAACUGCAGCUACCAGCCCGGCCCUCUCUGGUGACUGGGAAGCUUACUCAGGGCUGAGGUCACCCUUUGUGUCAGUAGGAGUCUGUUCUUGUUCCUCUCGGUCCUGGCAAGAAAAAAGCAGGAAUUCUGAAAAUCGGCAAUUAUCCCUCCUGGUUUCUUUGUACAGUGCCCCAUAAAUAAUUUAUUUGGAUCGAGGGACUGGAGACUGAAAACGUAUAUUGGAUCUUGCUGCAACCGGGUGGAUUCUACAUUCAGGACUUGAGUGUAG
ensembl:lncRNA